rnacentral:misc_RNA from 1 species
UACGGAGGGUGCGAGCGUUAAUCGGAAUUACUGGGCGUAAAGCACGCGUAGGCGGCUUGAUAAGCCGGUUGUGAAGGCCCCGGGCUCAACCUGGGAACGGCAUCCGGAACUGUCAGGCUAGAGGGCAGGAGGGGAAGGUAGAAUUCCCGGUGUAGCGGUGAAAUGCGUAGAGAUCGGGAGGAAUACCAGUGGCGAAGGCGGCCUUCUGGACUGACACUGACGCUGAGGUGCGAAAGCGUGGGUAGCAAAAAGG